GACGAACGCUGGCGGCAUGCCUAAUACAUGCAAGUCGAACGCUUCUUUCCUCCCGAGUGCUUGCACUCAAUUGGAAAGAGGAGUGGCGGACGGGUGAGUAACAAGUGUGUAACCUACCCAUCAGAGGGGGAUAACACUUGGAAACAGGUGCUAAUACCGCAUAACAGUUUAUGCCGCAUGGCAUAAGAGUGAAAGGCGCUUUCGGGUGUCGCUGAGGGAUGGACCCGCGGUGCGUUAGCUAGUUGGUGAGGUAACGGCUCACCAAGGCCACGAUGCAUAGCCGACCGGAGAGGGUGAUCGGACACACUGGGACUGAGACACGGCCCAGACUCCUACGGGAGGCAGCAGUAGGGAAUCUUCGGCAAUGGACGAAAGUCUGACCGAGCAACGCCGCGUGAGUGAAGAAGGUUUUCGGAUCGUAAAACUCUGUUGUUAGAAAAGAACAAGGACGUUAGUAACUGAACGUCUCCUGACGGUAUCGAAAGAAUAAGCCACGGCUAACUACGUG
rnacentral:rRNA from 1 species